AAGAGAGUGAAGAUGCACGCACGAUCGGAAAAGAGCAGGUUGAUGCAUAAAGUUUGCUGUGGAAUGGCAAAACCGUAAUUUCAAAAGCAAAAUCCCGUAUCAAUGGCGUAACAGUAAAUCUACUCUCUCUCUCUCUCACUCUCUCUAACCUCCUCCUCGCUGACUUCUCUGAUUCUCUCAACCGCCAGAAUAAUGUCACCAUCGUGGGCAACCGCCAUCAUCCACCGCGAAAUCGACCAUUAAAUCUGGCGCGCCUGCGCCGGAGCCUCCGUCCAGAUCCCCACGCUCUUCUCUAGGGUUUACUAUUACCCCAGGGACACGCGGAGAACUGAUGCCGUAAUCUCUCCCUCCUCCGUCGUCACUUCUCCGAUCGUCUCCUCCUCAGUCAACCUCCUCGCGGAUCCGAUCACCGACGAGGUCUUCGCUCACCUCACUUUACACCCCGUGGCUCGCGAUUGAUCAGUUUCCUCCCCCUACCUCUCGAUUCGACGAAGAGGAUGGUCACGUUCGCGAAUGUCCUCAACAAGAAGCUAAUCGCUUGAGACUCACGAGGAAAUCAAUUCACGAGAGGUGUGAGGAGAGUUCCGAUCUAUUAUCCGACGGCGGGGUGGUCUGAUUUUGUCGUGAGACAUGAGGACGUUGAGGCGUCAACGAAUGUUUACUGGACUCCGGGAACUCGAGUGGAAACGGAAGAUUCUUCGAGGUUUCAGGAGAUAUGGAAACAAGCUUCAGAUCACAUGGGACGAACCUGAGAUUCUGCAGAACUUGGCAAGUUGAAGCUGUUUCGAAUUCAACUCAGCUUCAUGCUACUCACAUCCCCACCAACAAAGAAAUCCAAGUAUCCACAUGGCGCAAGUGGGUUCUUGAGUGGAGAGGAAGGAGAGAUGAUCAAUUCUGGAAGAGGACAAGCUGUGGAUCCAAAUCCCCUAUGUGUACUCGUAUACUACAGUUCCUGCUGGCAUUAUGAAUUUGGGUCUUACGACUCAACCGGAUUCAUUGGAGAAAACGCUACCGAGUUUGACUUCUUUAGUCCUCUUCCCGGUCUGUGAAGAGUCUCGACUCAGAUGAUGAACUUUGGCAGUCCGCGUUCAGAUGACUUGUCGCCUAACAGCAAUACCACUAAUGUUUCCUCUCGCAGCUGGGAACCGAGGCAUUAGUUUUCAGCUGAGAGCGGUGUUGAGGACUCUAGCUUGUGUGAAGAGGAUGGAAGCAAAAAGAGUCCAGUGACUAUUAAGUUCCUAACGAGGCCCAGUUGCAGGGUCGUGGAGGAAGGUGAAGAGUCUUAGCGUGGGUGCCUUCAAGAUUCCAACAGCCACAUAGGUAGUAUCUGCAAAAAAGGUCAGGUGAAGUGAAUCAAGGAAUGUUUGGAAUCUGUACGUCCCAAGUAGUAGUUGGUUGGUAAUACUAAAAAGUAUCUAUCCGGUUUUUAUUUUCUUGCAUUUUGACUUUCCUCGAGGGGUUUUAUGUUUUGCCACUUAGCAAUUUGUUUAUUUUUUAACUGAUUUCUGAGACGCAUUUUGGAGGAACAUCUCGCUCUCUCUUAA